UGCAGAAUCCCGUGAACCAUCGAGUUUUUGAACGCAAGUUGCGCCCGAAGCCAUUAGGUCGAGGGCACGUCUGCCUGGGCGUCUCAC
rnacentral:rRNA from 1 species